rnacentral:rRNA from 1 species
UCCAGCUCCAAUAGCGUAUAUUAAAGUUGUUGCAGUUAAAAAGCUCGUAGUUGAAUUUCGGGGUUAGUAGGUUGGUCAUGCCUCAGGUAUGUACUGAUCUCACUGAUUCCUCCUUCCUGACGAACCGUAAUGCCAUUAAUUUGGUGUUGCGGGGAGACUGGACUGUUACUUUGAAAAAAUUAGAGUGUUUAAAGCAGGCUAACGCUUGAAUACAUUAGCAUGGAAUAAUGAAAUAGGACGUUCGAUCCUAUUUUGUUGGUUUCUAGGAUUGACGUACUGAUUAAUAGGGAUAGUUGGGGGCAUUAGUAUUCAAUUGUCAGAGGUGAAAUUCUUGGAUUUAUUGCAGACUAACUACUGCGAAAGCAUUUGCCAAGGAUGUUUUCAUUACUCAAGAACCAAAGUUAGGGGAUCGAAGACGAUCAGAUACCGUCGUAGUCUUACCCAUAAACUAUGCCGACUAGGGAUCGGAUGAUGUUAAUUU